UCCCCAACUUGGCCGCUUAUCCGACUGAGCCAGAAAGGCAGGGAGCAGAACAUCUAAGCUACAAAAAGUGCUCUGCUUUGUGGGUGCAGAAUUUGCACCAGUAGUGGCGACGCGCUGGGAGGGCACCAGAUGGGGGGAAACUGGCCAAUCCGUGUCUGAAAGGCUGCAUUGUCUCUGGAGGGGGAGGAGAGGCGGGGAUCAGUGGCUCGUAUAAAUGGCUGCAUUAAGCACACGGAAGGGGCUUCAGGGCUGUGGUUAAAGCAGGGUUGUAAGGCAGGAAUUCUAGGCCACCACAAACACACACAACCCCACAGCACUGAGCACUCACAACCUUCCCAAAUAAGCACUAAGCCAGCACUGGAUUUGCAGAUUGUUCAGAAAUCCUUCCCCCCAACACGAGGUACACAGGUCCUCCACCAAACUUCAAAACACUGCUUGGGUAGCAGUUGUAGCUAAUCAACUCUUUAUUGACGUACAAACCCAGUGGCCUUGAAAAACAACCGUGGGACAAGAGGUCUUUGCAGAUAGGUUGUGUGAUGAAGCAGCAGCAGCUUCCCUGUUGGAGAAGGGCAGGACUGGUGAGUUGAGCUGGUGCUCUGUGGUGGAUUUCAGGCCAGGAGUGAUGUUCUCCUGAAGGAAAGCUGGGUGGCUUAGCAGAUUCCCCCAGAUAAGACCUCCACAAAGAUACCUCGCAAAGCUGGAGGGGUUCUUCAUGUCCCAGCUUCCACCGUGGGGUCCUCCUGCAGCCAAGACUGUGGGCACUAAGUAGCUGAGACAGGGCAGAGGACAAGGCCAAGUGAAGCCCCUUCCAUUGGUUAACACCACAAGCAUAAGGCCCUCUGAAGAGGAGGAGGUUUCUCAGCUUCAGGCCCUGGUGGAAGAAUCUGCCCAGAGUUUUCAUUUACUGUAAAUGAUCAUAACAACAACGAUACUUCCCUCCACAGAUUUUGGAGUUGAAUUCCAGAAAGAAACCAAAGAUCUGGGGAGGAGGGCAUUCAAUGUCAAAAUAGAGGAGCAUCCUAAAGUGCAUCUGAGAAUUGCAAAGGGCUGGUUUGGGGGGGGGGGCAGCAGAGGAGGACUUCCUUGCAGAAUUCCUCCAGCAUUUUCCAAAAAGGCAGGGCCAGUUAGGCCAGAAUUCAAAGGAAUGCAAGUGUUGGGUGGAAGAGGUCCUGCAAAGAGAAUAUGUGUUUGGACACAGUUCACACACUGAAAAGCCUUGCAGGUAUUGCCAAAAGGGGGGGGGGGGGGGGGAGUCUCACUCAAACCUUUGCAGGAAGAUGAUGCAAGAUGGUGAAGGGAAAGAUGUCUUUGGCACAAGGACAACGGGUGCAAAAUCAGAGGAGUUUCAAACUACCACAGGAGCUUUGCUUUCUAUGAGCACAAACCAGACCUCCCCAGGUAUAUUCCUCUUACCAGUGGUGACAGGUGAUGGGAACUGUAGUGCAACACAACCCAAGGGGCACCGAUGGGGGAAGGCUGGGUGUGCCCACAGGUUUCCCUGAUCCUGCUGCCCUGUUUGCUCCAAGAGCUUUGCAGAUUUUAAAUCUGCUGGGGAACGGCCAGCUCUUCUCAAAUUCUUCCCAAGCAGAGCACACCAGCCCGCAGGCUAGGCAUUCAGGGUGCUGUAGCCUGGCCAGCCUCUGAUCUCAGAGAAAGAGGUCUCGCAGCCCUUGGACUAUUCCCAGGCAGGUGCUGCUGGGCUUCCCUCAGUGCUGCUUCCAGACUGCACUUGUCCUGGAAGCCUGAAAAGGCAGCCCCUCUGUUGUAAACAAGGCCUGAGCCAGACCCUCAGGAUGAGGUGAGGGAUUUCCACCAACAGAUCUAUUUGGAAAACACUCACCCCAUCCCACAUCCCAGGAUGGGAAACUGGCAGGAUAAGAAGAGGUGCGGCUCCUGCUGCCUUUAAGUGGCCUGCCCUACUACACACACCUCCUAGAGCAGCAGAGGAGAGGGCACAGGCAGAAGAACAGAGGGAAGGGCAAAGGGAAAAACGUCUCUGGCCACCAGUUUGAGACCUUUGGAACAGAACCACCUUCCCCAAUUUCCCCUUCCCAGCCCACAUCCGGAGGAAGGCUAAAAGGAGAUUGAGGCUUAGUAAGAAUGACCAGGCUGGCUAGGAUGGAAGAAAAUCUACAAAGCAAAGCAUUGCAUUUAUUCUCUUGGGAAGAAACUGGCAAGGCCAUGUGUCCAAAAAGGCCAGUCUUCCUGGCCAAGCAAUUCCCUACCAGCAUGUGGAGGGGACGGGGGGAAAAGAGGCAAAGCAGGGGCAUUAAGCCUACCAGAAGCACCAUGAGAGGAUUUCAUCACUGUUGAUCUUCACCUCCCAACAAGCAAAAAGCUGCACUGCUGUAACAUUUUGUUUCGUGGCAGAAUCUUGCAGCUACAACCCGGUGGGCCUUUGGAGCACCAAAAAUGACAGGGAAGGUGGUCUCCAGGUGGCUCGUGGAUCGCCCAGCCUCAUGCUGAAACCUGAGAUCUGCAAUUGUGAUGACCACCCGGGUUGGAGGUGCGGUGCCUGCAUCAGCGUCGGCCAAAUGCAGGGUUUAGAUGGGGGGAGGGGGGGCAAUGGUUAGAUUACAAGGCAAAGUUGCAUGUUGGAUCAGCCUUAAAAAUUAAGAGACAAGCUGCUUACCCCACAGUAAGACCCUCUCCACUCCCCAAUCGCUUCAGUGAAAGGCCCCAUACACCUCAUGCACUGCGCAAGCUGCACAUAUACGAGGAAAUGGCCUUCUCCAACCUGGCUGCUUGCAGAAGGUCAUCUUCCAGAAUUCCCAGCCAGCAGAGCUGUUGCUGAGAAUCCUGGGAGCUGAAGCCCACACCUCUGGAGGGCACCCAGGAUGGGGUUGGCCACGAUAGAACAAAGACAGGAGAGGCAGCAGAACCAAAAGUAGCUCCCAUUAUACAGAUCCCAAAGAGGAAGCAGAGGGCCUGCUGAGGAAGAAAUGGCAGCUCUAUACCUAUUUGAGGGACUUCCAUUUUUCUAACAGGUCAAUGCACAAUCAAAGCUACUAAGAUCCUCCUGCUAACAGGAUGCAUCACCUCCUACUGUGGAGAUAAAGAUGAAGUAAUCCUCUUGUCACUCCUA